AGUGAACGCUGGCGGUAGGCCUAACACAUGCCAGUCGAACGGCAGCACAGUAAGAGCUUGCUCUUACGGGUGGCGAGUGGCGGACGGGUGAGGAAUACAUCGGAAUCUACUUUUUCGUGGGGGAUAACGUAGGGAGACUUACGCUAAUACCGCAUACGACCUACGGGUGAAAGCAGGGGAUCUUCGGACCUUGCGCGAUUGAAUGAGCCGAUGUCGGAUUAGCUAGUUGGCGGGGUAAAGGCCCACCAAGGCGACGAUCCGUAGCUGGUCUGAGAGGAUGAUCAGCCACACUGGAACUGAGACACGGUCCAGACUCCUACGGGAGGCAGCAGUGGGGAAUAUUGGGCAAUGGGCGCAAGCCUGAUCCAGCCAUACCGCGUGGGUGAAGAAGGCCUUCGGGUUGUAAAGCCCUUUUGUUGGGAAAGAAAAGCAGCAGGUUAAUACCCCGCUGUUCUGACGGUACCCAAAGAAUAAGCACCGGCUAACUUCGUG
rnacentral:rRNA from 1 species